GUGUCGUGAGAUCGUUGGGUUAAGUCCCGUAACGAGCGCAACCCUUGUCCUUAGUUACCAGCACGUUAUGGUGGGCACUCUAAGGAGACUGCCGGUGGACAACCGGAGGAAGGUGGGGAUGACGUCAAGUCAUCAUGGCCCUUACGGCCUGGGCUACACACGUGCUACAAUGGUCGGUACAAAGGGUUGCCAAGCCGCGAGGUGGAGACUAAUCCCAUAAAACCGAUCGUAGUCCGGAUCGCAGUCUGCAACUCGACUGCGUGAAGUCGGAAUCGCUAGUAAUCGUGAAUCAGAAUGUCACGGUGAAUACGUUCCCGGGCCUU
rnacentral:rRNA from 1 species